CUGCUGCCUCCCGUAGGAGUCUGGACCGUGUCUCAGUUCCAGUGUGGCUGGUCAUCCUCUCAGACCAGCUAGGGAUCGUCGCCUAGGUGAGCCGUUACCCCACCUACUAGCUAAUCCCAUCUGGGCACAUCCGAUGGCAAGAGGCCCGAAGGUCCCCUCUUUGGUCUUGCGACGUUAUGCGGUAUUAGCUACCGUUUCCAGUAGUUAUCCCCCUCCAUCAGGCAGUUUCCCAGACAUUACUCACCCGUCCGCCA
rnacentral:rRNA from 1 species